rnacentral:rRNA from 1 species
CAGUCGCCGCGGGAAAACGGAGGGUGCAAGCGUUAAUCGGAAUUACUGGGCGUAAAGCGCACGCAGGCGGUCUGUCAAGUCAGAUGUGAAAUCCCCGGGCUUAACCUGGGAACUGCAUUUGAAACUGGCAGGCUAGAGUCUUGUAGAGGGGGGUAGAAUUCCAGGUGUAGCGGUGAAAUGCGUAGAGAUCUGGAGGAAUACCGAUGGCGAAGGCAGCCCCCUGGGCCAAUACUGACGCUCAUGCACGAAAGCGUGGGGAGCAAACAGGAUUAGAUACCCGCGUAGUCCCUGUCUCUUAUAC